GGGACGCUCGGGGGCGGGGCUGAGCUUCCUUCCACACAGGUGACCUGGACCGUCCCGUCUCGCUCUGGAAAGACCAGCGUCUCCGCGCCAUGGCCUCUGCUCCCGGCUCCUCCCAGGUCAUGAUGUGAACAGCCGAGGCUGGCGGUAACUACCUUCCUGUCUCUGCUGUACCCAUCUCGGCUAAUCCAGCUGGACUUCUGGCGGUGCUGGAGGUUAAACGGCGCUGCGAGGCAAGAGGAGAUUAGUCUUGCCCCAUGGGAGGCGAGCCCUGGAGCCGGUCGUAUGGGGAGAAUGGAAGCUCAGAGACACUAAGGAAGCCGUGUGGUUGGUUGAUGAGAAGAGGAUCAGGAUUCACCCGGGACCAGACGGCCACGCAGGCCAGUUCCCCCACCGCCCCACAGGGAGAGCCUGGAGCCAGGGCAGAGGAAAGCUAGAGGCGGAACCCAGAGAAGCAAGGGCUUGCAGCCCCCGAUGGCUGGAACAUAAACAGACCAAGAGGACCACGGUGACCUGCAGAAAGCAAUGGCUGUGCUUGGGCUCUUGCCUCUCUAAGUAUAUACAUCAAAUACAGACCCGGCAAGGCGCAUCAGGCCCUCAUGAAGCACCACCAACCUGCUGCCGGGCCCAGCGUUGCGAGAGAUGCCUUGCGAAGGUCGGAGGGCUGUUUAUCCGCAUACACAGUUGAAACCCCGCUUAGCGGUCACUUAGUUACUGGUGGAAACACCCAACCGGUAAGUGGCUCAAGCCUGGUUUCCAGUCAGAGCCGCACCAGUUUCUUAGCAGAGCCACGUGACCUAAGCUCUCAGCCACCAUUUCCAGACGCACACCUGGUGUGCAUUUUCCCCCGGGAUUGUUGCAAAGGGGAAACGAGAACUUAUUCGUACGCAUCCCGGCAUGAUGGCUCCUAAAGGCUCAGUUGGCAGGAGCUGGUUCUUCAUGUUUAUGAGUCAAGUGGACGCACAGUAUCUCUGACUCUGGUAAUAGCUCCAGAAGGUGGGAAUCGAGGGAGGGCUCUGCACCUGGGUGGAGGAGUGGCUGAUGUGGAGGCCAGAUGUCGCCAGUGUGGCGAGGGGUAGAACUUUCCAGAUAUCUGGGGGGACAUGACGAGUGUAUUUGGCUGGAAGCACAGAUGUCUAAGGACCGUGAGGUCAGCUGCACGAUCUGCCCAGAGAGAGGAAUUCAGUGCAGAACUAGGUGCUUCUCCCCUGUGUUCACUGCAGCCAGGACGUGGACGCCGCCUAAGUGUCCAUCGACAGAGGAAUGGAGAAAGAAGAUGUGGCACACAUAUACAAUGCAAUAUGACUCAGUCAUAAAAAAGAAUGAAAUAAUGCCAUUUGGAGCAACAUGGAUGGACCCAGAGAUUAUCAUACUAAGUGAAGUAAGUCAGACAGAGAAAGACAAAUACUGUAUGAUAUCACUUAUAUGUGGAAUCUAAAAUCGACACAAAUGAACUUGUCUACAAAACAGAAACAGACUCAUGGGCAUAGAGAACAGACUGGCGGUUGCCAAGGUGGGGGAGGGAUGAAUGGCAGAUGCAAACUAUUAUCUAUAGGAUGGAUAACAACAAGGUCCUACUGUGUAGCACAGGGAGGUAUAUUCAAUGUGCUGUGAUAAACCAUCAUGGAAAAGAAUAUAUAUAUAUAUACACAUAUGUAUAUGUGUAUAUACACAUAUAUAUGUGUAUAACUGAAUCACUUUGCUAUACAGCACAAACUAACACAACAGUGUAAAUCAACUAUACUUCAGUAAAAUUAAAAAAAUAAAAUUAAGUGCUCUGAAACAUUUCCUAAAGAGGGUGAAAUGUGAAGUUUUGGCAAAUACCCAAAAGUUUUGAAAAAGCAGAAAUAUCUGAAAAUGAAGAACUAAAAUGUUCCCUAAUGUGUAAUUAAAAAAAAAACUAAUUGGCACCACCUUAUAGAAUGAGUGUAAAAAUAUAUAGAUCAUGUCAGCCCUUAAAGAUAUUAAUGAUUGAUAUGAUAAUCUAAGGGGAGCUGAAUGAUAUGUUGGCAACUAAAGUCACUUUCACAGUUUCUUGGACGUUUUGCACUAUGAUUCUCCUUAGUGGGUCUUGAGAGGGUGAGAUCACCAUCAAGGCAGCAAAGAAUCUCUCGGGUUGAUUACAGCCAUCGAGGGAGAGCAGAUGACUCUGUGCAUCCAUGAAAAUAAAUAUUUGCCACAAACCCAAUAGACAGCAGCCUUCAUGGGGACAUUAAGUCCCACUGAUUGGUUCUUUCUUUCUGUCCCUGUCUGACCAAGCUCUGGUGUGUGUGUGUCUGAUUCUGUCCACUUCUGGCUGAGGCUGAAGGAGGUGAGGAAAAGGCACAAGAACAGAGAAGACAGAACUGAGCGUUGGGUCAUGCUUGCGAUGUGCUGGAGAGAAUUUCAGAACCAAAUACCUGCUGUACAGCACAGGGAACUCUACUCGUAUCUUGUAAUAACCUAUAAGGGAAAAGAAUCUGAAAAAGACUAGAUAUAUAUGUAUAACUGAAUCACUCUGCUGUACACCUGAAACUAACA